AGAGUUUGAUCAUGGCUCAGAUUGAACGCUGGCGGCAUGCUUAAUACAUGCAAGUCGAACGGUAACAGAUUCUUCGGAAUGCUGACGAGUGGCGGACGGGUGAGUAAUACAUAGGAAUCUGCCCAUGUAGUGGGGGACAACUUGGGGAAACUCAAGCUAAUACCGCAUAAUUCCUACGGGAUAAAGAGGGCCACUGCUUGCAAGCUCUUGCUACUGGAUGAGCCUAUGUCGGAUUAGUUAGUUGGUAAGGUAAUGGCUUACCAAGACAGCGAUCCGUAGCUGGUUUGAGAGGAUGAUCAGCCACACUGGGACUGAGACACGGCCCAGACUCCUACGGGAGGCAGCAGUAGGGAGUAUUGGACAAUGGGCGCAAGCCUGAUCCAGCAAUGCCGCGUGUGUGAAGAAGGCCUGCGGGUUGUAAAGCACUUUCAAUUGGGAAGAAAGAUUAUGAGUUAAUACCUUAUAAUAUUGACG
rnacentral:rRNA from 1 species